UACGAAGGGGGGCGAGCGUUGUUCGGAAUUACUGGGCGUAAAGGGCGCGCAGGCGGCUCUGAAAGUCAGAUGUGAAAGCCCCGGGCUUAACCUGGGAACUGCAUUUGAUACUCUAGAGCUUGAGUACGGGAGAGGAGAGUGGAAUUCCCAGUGUAGAGGUGAAAUUCGUAGAUAUUGGGAAGAACACCGGUGGCGAAGGCGGCUCUCUGGACCGUAACUGACGCUGAGGCGCGAAAGCGUGGGGAGCAAACAGG
rnacentral:rRNA from 1 species